AUUUACGGAGAGUUUGAUCCUGGCUCAGGACGAACGUUGGCGGCACGCCUAAUGCAUGCAAGUCGAACGAGGUACCACCUUUAGGGGUGGAUACCUAGUGGCAGACGGCUGAGUAACACGUGAGUGAUCUGCCUUUGAGAGGGGGAUAACACAGGGAAACUUGUGCUAAUACCGCGUACGUUCCGUUUCAUAGACGAGGCGGAGGAAAUGGUGCCGGGUAACCGGUCACCGCUCAAAGAUGAGCUCGCGUCCUAUCAGGUAGUUGGUGGGGUAAUAGCCUACCAAGCCUAAGACGGGUAGCUGGUGUGAGAGCACG
rnacentral:rRNA from 1 species